CCUACGGGGCGCAGCAGUAGGGAAUUUUGGGCAAUGGGCGCAAGCCUGACCCAGCAACGCCGCGUGAAGGAAGAAGGCUUUCGGGUUGUAAACUUCUUUUAUCAGGGACGAAGCAAGUGACGGUACCUGAUGAAUAAGCCACGGCUAACUACGUGCCAGCAGCCGCGGUAAUACGUAGGUGGCAAGCGUUAUCCGGAUUUACUGGGUGUAAAGGGCGUGUAGGCGGGAAAGCAAGUCAGAUGUGAAAACCAUGGGCUCAACCUGUGGCCUGCAUUUGAAACUGUUUUUCUUGAGUACUGGAGAGGCAGACGGAAUUCCUAGUGUAGCGGUGAAAUGCGUAGAUAUUAGGAGGAACACCAGUGGCGAAGGCGGUCUGCUGGACAGCAACUGACGCUGAGGCGCGAAAGCGUGGGGAGCAAACAGGAUUAGAUACCCGAGUAGUC
rnacentral:rRNA from 1 species